rnacentral:lncRNA from 1 species
ACUUCGCCCAAGUGACAAUGAAGUCUCCUGCAAAAUCUUUUUGGAGGAGAAAAAAAGGACUGAGGGAGUAAAAAAGAGAAGGCUGGGAAGGCUGCAGAUCCCUCUUCAAAAAAGGAAUGCCAACCCCGCUGAGAAGAAAAAGGAAGCAGCAAUCCCCACGUGCCCAUUCCUGGGCUUGGCAGUUUGUUGCCUUCCAGAGAGAGAGGACCAUAUCCUGCAAUUAGAGGACCAAAGGGAUUUAAUUUCUAUCCAGAGAAUAAGGACCUUUCUGUGGAAGAUGGGGGAAAUAUAAACAUGUCCUCCUGGAGUUGUUGCAAAGAAGAAGAACCCCCCAAAAGUAAACCUCAGUCAAUGGAAGUUCUAAAGCCAAUUCCCAAAGUUAAGCCCCUGGUAGUCCCAGUUGCCUAUGUUCUGAAGCAUGAGGAAGAUGAUGACGAGCUGGGGCAACAGGAACAGGAGAAGCUGAGGCAGGAACAAGAAAAACAGAGACAGGAACAGGAAAAACAGAGGCAGGAACAGGAGAAACAGAAGCAAAGCCAGAACCAUCAGGAAUCAUCAGGCCAAGACGAUGCUGUUACACAGCCCUCUACCUCAGCCAGUGAAACAAUGAGAGAGGCAGGAACACAAACCAAUCCACACUGUUUCCCUAAAUCACCAGCAAAGGUCACACUGGAUGAGAUUCUACGUGGGAUGCAGAGGAUCCAGAUGACUAUGGAUCACACGGUGAGAGAUUUUGAGCAGCGCAUCUCCCGUCUGGAGCGGAUAGUUUUAAAAAUGAGGAAUGCAUGGAUUCACCAUCGAACCUGCCAUCUGGAGGGCCUAGAGUAUGAUGAUGAACAGGAAGAUUAAUUUUUAAAAUGGGAACGUCAAGUGUUUUUUUUUUCUGGAUUGCAUUUCCCGAAUUCCAGUCAACUCACAGAAUUGCUGUGUCAGUGACCCUGCUUUAAAGCAGGAUGAAAAGUUGCUAAUGCACGUCAGCAGAUGCAGAAGUGCGGCACCAGGAUGCUGGAUGAGAAAGCUGUGGGCCAUCAUUAGUACUGAAAAAAAGAUUUUACUCUCUUCUACAAUCUGAUUUUACUGAUCAGGUCUUCCAGAUGGAAUAGAAGUGGUGACUCGAUCUUAUUCUUUGUCCACAACAGGUAUCUGGUCAUCUAAGAGUUUUCAGUGCAAUGCCAAUACUAUUGCACCCCAUCUGAUCUUUUUCUGCCCUGGCACAUGAUGACUGCUUUGACCAUCAGAAACAUUUACCGAGAUACUCUACUUUCUCCCUUCAAAAACGUCUGAUUAUCAGAUUCUGGUAUCCCUUUCUCCACCCCAGUGCCACAGCAAUCAUCCUUCUCCUUGGAAGGAUGCAUUUCCUUUAUAUAUUAUGGUUUAAAGGAGUCAUCUUAGUACCAGCCUCAGCAUCUUCUCUUGUAUUUAGCCAAAGAAGUGAAGCUCAUAUCCGGCAGAGCACAAGAACACCUGUUGCUUUCAUCAACUUGAAAGCUUCUGUUUGAAUGCUCUUGGGCAACAUGUACUGGAUUCCACUGUGCAGUUGUUCAACAGGUAUAUAUGCCCACCUUUGUACAGCCUUUAAAAUGUUGUUAAACCCUGUACCUAUCUGACUACUCUGGAUCUGGAGCCUGAAAUCACACAUAAAAGCACAAUUAUCAGAUGGAUGCCCGAACUAGUAAAGUUAAAUUUGCCAGCUCAGAAUUCACCCCCUCUGGUGGUUGAAAGACUAAAUUCAGUUAUGGUGGUGACACCAAAAGGGAAAAAACAAAAAACUAGGAAGUAUGGUGGAACAGGUACAAAAGAGGCAUACGAGGGUUUUGGGAAAGGCAGUUUGCCCCAUAUGUAAGAGUGUUAAAAAACAGUUUAUUGAGAAUAUCUGUUCUGAUUUUUGUAUCUUUGGCAUAUUUAAAAUUAUCAUUUUAAACAUUGUUUUUAAACUAUUAUAUUAUUUUUAUAUUGUAUUAUGAUUUAUAGUUUUGUGUAAACCACUUAUUCUACCACAUACAAAUAUCAUAAUCCCCUUUAAACAGAUGCUUUCCCUGAAGCAAGUCCUAUUUUGAUAGAAUAAACUUUCAAGCAUAUAUACUUAGUACUACA